rnacentral:rRNA from 1 species
UACGGGAGGCAGCAGUGGGGAAUAUUGCACAAUGGAGGAAACUCUGAUGCAGCAAUGCCGCGUGUGUGAAGAAGGCCUUAGGGUUGUAAAGCACUUUCAGUAGGGAGGAAAAGUUUAAGGUUAAUAACCUUAGGCCCUGACGUUACCUACAGAAGAAGCACCGGCUAACUCCGUGCCAGCAGCCGCGGUAAUACGGAGGGUGCAAGCGUUAAUCGGAAUUACUGGGCGUAAAGCGCGCGUAGGCGGUUAAACAAGUCAGAUGUGAAAGCCCCGGGCUCAACCUGGGAACUGCAUUUGAAACUGUUUAGCUAGAGUGUGGUAGAGGAGAGUGGAAUUUCAGGUGUAGCGGUGAAAUGCGUAGAUAUCUGAAGGAACACCAGUGGCGAAGGCGGCUCUCUGGACCAACACUGACGCUGAGGUGCGAAAGCGUGGGUAGCAAACGGGAUUAGAUACCCCGGUAGUCCACGCCGUAAACGAUGUCAACUAACUGUUGGGCGGGUUUCCGCUUAGUGGUGCAGCUAACGCAAUAAGUUGACCGCCUGGGGAGUACGGCCGCAAGGCUAAAACUCAAAUGAAUUGACGGGGGCCCGCACAAGCGGUGGAGCAUGUGGUUUAAUUCGAUGCAACGCGAAGAACCUUACCUACCCUUGACAUACAGAGAACUUUCUAGAGAUAGAUUGGUGCCUUCGGGAACUCUGAUACAGGUGCUGCAUGGCUGUCGUCAGCUCGUGUCGUGAGAUGUUGGGUUAAGUCCCGUAACGAGCGCAACCCUUAUCCUUAGUUGCUACCAUUUAGUUGGGCACUCUAAGGAGACUGCCGGUGAUAAACCGGAGGAAGGUGGGGACGACGUCAAGUC